GGGUUGUGAGGUUAAGCGACUAAGCGUACACGGUGGAUGCCCUGGCAGUCAGAGGCGAUGAAGGACGUGCUAAUCUGCGAUAAGCGUCGGUGAGGUGAUAUGAACCGUUAUAACCGGCGAUUUCCGAAUGGGGAAACCCAGUGUGUUUCGACACACUAUCAUUAACUGAAUCCAUAGGUUAAUGAGGCGAACCGGGGGAACUGAAACAUCUAAGUACCCCGAGGAAAAGAAAUCAACCGAGAUUCCCCCAGUAGCGGCGAGCGAACGGGGAGCAGCCCAGAGCCUGAAUCAGUGUGUGUGUUAGUGGAAGCGUCUGGAAAGGCGUGCGAUACAGGGUGACAGCCCCGUACACAAAAAUGCACAUACUGUGAGCUCGAUGAGUAGGGCGGGACACGUGGUAUCCUGUCUGAAUAUGGGGGGACCAUCCUCCAAGGCUAAAUACUCCUGACUGACCGAUAGUGAACCAGUACCGUGAGGGAAAGGCGAAAAGAACCCCGGCGAGGGGAGUGAAAAAGAACCUGAAACCGUGUACGUACAAGCAGUGGGAGCCUCUUAAUGGGGUGACUGCGUACCUUUUGUAUAAUGGGUCAGCGACUUAUAUUCUGUAGCAAGGUUAACCGAAUAGGGGAGCCGAAGGGAAACCGAGUCUUAACUGGGCGUUAAGUUGCAGGGUAUAGACCCGAAACCCGGUGAUCUAGCCAUGGGCAGGUUGAAGGUUGGGUAACACUAACUGGAGGACCGAACCGACUAAUGUUGAAAAAUUAGCGGAUGACUUGUGGCUGGGGGUGAAAGGCCAAUCAAACCGGGAGAUAGCUGGUUCUCCCCGAAAGCUAUUUAGGUAGCGCCUCGUGAAUUCAUCUCCGGGGGUAGAGCACUGUUUCGGCAAGGGGGUCAUCCCGACUUACCAACCCGAUGCAAACUGCGAAUACCGGAGAAUGUUAUCACGGGAGACACACGGCGGGUGCUAACGUCCGUCGUGAAGAGGGAAACAACCCAGACCGCCAGCUAAGGUCCCAAAGUCAUGGUUAAGUGGGAAACGAUGUGGGAAGGCCCAGACAGCCAGGAUGUUGGCUUAGAAGCAGCCAUCAUUUAAAGAAAGCGUAAUAGCUCACUGGUCGAGUCGGCCUGCGCGGAAGAUGUAACGGGGCUAAACCAUG
rnacentral:rRNA from 1 species